rnacentral:rRNA from 1 species
AGUGAACGCUGGCGGUAGGCCUAACACAUGCAAGUCGAACGGCAGCACAGUAAGAGCUUGCUCUUACGGGUGGCGAGUGGCGGACGGGUGAGGAAUACAUCGGAAUCUACUUUUUCGUGGGGGAUAACGUAGGGAAACUUACGCUAAUACCGCAUACGACCUACGGGUGAAAGCAGGGGAUCUUCGGACCUUGCGCGAUUGAAUGAGCCGAUGUCGGAUUAGCUAGUUGGCGGGGUAAAGGCCCACCAAGGCGACGAUCCGUAGCUGGUCUGAGAGGAUGAUCAGCCACACUGGAACUGAGACACGGUCCAGACUCCUACGGGAGGCAGCAGGGGGGAAGAUUGGACAAUGGGCGCAAGCCUGAUCCAGCCAUACCGCGUGGGUGAAGAAGGCCUUCGGGUUGUAAAGCCCUUUUGUUGGGAAAGAAAAGCAGCAGGUUAAUACCCCGCUGUUCUGACGGUACCCAAAGAAUAAGCACCGGCUAACUGCGU